rnacentral:rRNA from 1 species
ACGUCUACAUUAGAUACCCCCUGUAGUCCUAGCCGUAAACGAUACUCGCUAGGUGUCGGCCACGGUGCGACCGUUGUCGGUGCCGUAGGGAAGCCGUGAAGCGAGCCACCUGGGAAGUACGGCCGCAAGGCUGAACUUAAGGAUUGCGGGGGAGCACAACAACGGGUGGAGCCUGCGGUUUAAUUGGAUUCAACGCCGGAAAUCUUACCGGGACCGACAGCAACAUGAAGGCCAAGCUGAAGACUUUGCCGGAUUAGCUG